rnacentral:tRNA from 1 species
GCCUGGGUGGCUCAGUUGGUUGAGCGUCUGACUUCGGCUCAGGUCAUGAUCUCACGGUCCGUGAGUUCGAGCCCCGCGUCGGGUU